rnacentral:lncRNA from 1 species
UUUACAUAAUAUUAUAUUAAAAAAAUUUUAACUUGAUGCAGUUUGAUGUAAUUGUACUAUUCAUAUAUUAACUUGUUGUUUUUUGUCAAUUUAUUUUAAAAUGAAUCAACAUACUAAAAUUUUUAUUUUUUUUGCAUUAGUUUUCUAUGAAUAAUUAUUAAUUUUUAUGAUAUUUUGUUUUCCUGAAAAUGAACUCUCAAAAUUUUUAUAUUUAACAACAUACUAUUUAGU